UAACCUGGUUGAUCCUGCCAGUAUCGCAUUUCUCAGUUAAAAGAUUGAUCCAUGCAUGUGUCUGGCACUGCCUGUGCAAUGCCUGCGGACGGCUCAUUAAAACAGAGAUGACCUACUCUCAGAAACAGACGGAUAACUUUGCUAAUUGUGAGGCUAAUACGUGAGAUAAAGCUCCGGCUUGCCCCAAUUAUUCCUAAGCUCUGAACAUGACUGUUUAUUGGGUGAUUAGACCUUGUGUCUAUUGAGAAUGGGUCUCUGAUCUAUCAGCUGUUGACGGUUGUGUAUUGGACAACCGUGGCUAUGACGGAUAACGGGGAAUUAGGGUUCGGUUCCGGAGAGAACGCAUGAGAAACGGCGUUCACAGCUAAGGUUGGCAGCAGGAGCGAAAACUUUUCGAAUAAGCAAUGCUUGAAAAGGUGACUAUCCGUAUCAACAACUGCUAUUAGUAGUUGAUUGGAAUGGGAGACUUUUAGACCUAGUCUCGAGUAGCUAGUUCAGGGCAAGUCUGGUGCCAGCAGCCGCGGUAAUACCAGCUGAGCUAGAAAUGGGUAACAUUGUUGCAGUAAAAACGUACGUAGUCACCUUUGUUUUCGUGUCUCUUCCAAUCGGUCGAGGCAGAUGAACAACUCAUCUUGGCUUGUUCAAGAUGAUCUCCGCGAGUAAACUAGAACGAUUAACUUGAAUGUUGUAUAUGACAGCGUGGGAAACCUGAUGAUACCUAUCGGUUUUGUGCUUAUCUUAGCCAUAGGGAUAAACUGUAGGAAUGAAUGAGGACAUUAGUAUUUAGUAGCUAGAGGUGAAAUUCCUAGAUUUACUAACGACUAACUACUGCGAAAGCAUUUGUCUAAUUCAUUUUUGGUGAUCAAG
rnacentral:rRNA from 1 species